GACGAACGCUGGCGGCGCGCCUAACACAUGCAAGUCGAGCGAUAACCAGUCCUCGGUACGUGGGACAGCGGCGAACGGGUGAGUAACACGUGGGUAAUCUACCCUCGGUUUCGGGAUAGCCCGGGGAAACCCGGGAUUAAUACCGAAUAGGGCCUCUCAGGCUCUCGGGCUUGAGAGAAAAGGUAGCUUCGGCCUCUAGACCGAGGAUGAGCCCGCGGGCCGAUUAGCUAGUUGGUGGGGUAAUGGCCCACCAAGGGCGACG
rnacentral:rRNA from 1 species